CACGUAGGGCGCAAGCGUUGUCCGGAAUUAUUGGGCGUAAAGAGCUCGUAGGUGGUUUGUUACGUCUGCUGUGAAAACCUAGGGCUUAACCCUGGGCUUGCAGUGGAUACGGGCAGACUAGAGGUAGGUAGGGGAGAAUGGAAGUUCCUGGUGUAGCGGUGAAAUGCGCAGAUAUCAGGAGGAACACCGGUGGCGAAGGCGGUCUCUGGGCCUUACCUGACACUGAGGAGCGAAAGCGUGGGGGAGCGAACAGG
rnacentral:rRNA from 1 species